rnacentral:lncRNA from 1 species
UUUUCUUGUCUGAAAGAUGUUUGCAGGCUGUCUAAACCUCACUUGAGAUGUUUCAAUUGACAACCACGUUGUCUCCGCUUCGAUUUACCGCUUGUUUUCGCCUCGUUCUUCACUUCCUUGCAUGAACCAUACUUGUGAUGAGCAUUGCCAUGACUCCCUUUACAUUUACCAUCCUCGUGUUUAUACCGAUGCUUGCUAGGACCGGACGAGGCAUCAGAUACCAUUGAAUCAUCACUGGCUCCUUCGCCAUUAUCUUCGAUAUUCCGAUACUCUUUAUAACGGUCUUC